rnacentral:misc_RNA from 1 species
AACUUUUGGAUUAUAAAUCAAUAAAAUGCACAAGAUAUCGGCUUUUGCUUUGCCUUUCACAUGUACCAUCUCCUGCACUUCAUUUUUCAUUGGUAUUGACUUGCCUCAUUGAACUCUAUAUGCUAUGAUUCAUCAUUUUAUGAUGUAUUCCCUUAAUGUAAUUGUUUUUGCAUACUUCCACUUGUGAAACCUUUCAAAUCAACAGGGGCAUUGCUGCAAUAUGAGGAAAUGCAAUUAUUUUUCUUUGGCAUUUUCCUUCAUAGGUAUUUUUCUCCAAAACUAGUACUUCCCAAAAU